GAGUUUGAUCCUGGCUCAGAUUGAACGCUGGCGGCAUGCCUUACACAUGCAAGUCGAACGGCAGCACGGGAGCUUGCUCCUGGUGGGCGAGUGGCGAACGGGUGAGUAAUGCAUCGGAACGUAUCCUGGAGUGGGGGAUAACGUAGCGAAAGUUACGCUAAUACCGCAUAUUCUGUGAGCAGGAAAGCGGGGGACCUUCGGGCCUCGCGCUCUUGGAGCGGCCGAUGUCGGAUUAGCUAGUUGGUGAGGUAAAGGCUCACCAAGGCGACGAUCCGUAGCAGGUCUGAGAGGAUGAUCUGCCACACUGGAA
rnacentral:rRNA from 1 species